rnacentral:rRNA from 1 species
UACGAAGGGUGCAAGCGUUGCUCGGAAUUAUUGGGCGUAAAGGGUUGGUAGGUGGUCUUGUUUGUCUAAGGUGAAAUCCCAUGGCUUAACUGUGGAAGUGCCUUAGAAACGGCAAGACUAGAGUCCUAGAGGGGUUUGUGGAAUUCCCGGUGUAGCGGUGAAAUGCGUAGAGAUCGGGAGGAACACCAGCGGCGAAGGCGGCAAACUGGGCCAAUACUGACGCUGAGGUGCGAAAGCGUGGGGAGCAAACAGG